rnacentral:rRNA from 1 species
UACGUAGGGUGCAGGCGUUAAUCGGAAUUACUGGGCGUAAAGCGUGCGCAGGCGGUUUGCUAAGAGAGAUGUGAAAUCCCCGGGCUUAACCUGGGAACUGCGUUUCUAACUGGCAGGCUUGAGUGUGGCAGAGGGGGGUGGAAUUCCACGUGUAGCAGUGAAAUGCGUAGAGAUGUGGAGGAACACCGAUGGCGAAGGCAGCCCCCUGGGCUAACACUGACGCUAAUGCACGAAAGCGUGGGGAGCAAACAGG